GGAGUAACGACGUGGGUAACCGUAGCCUCAUACACAUGGAUAACAUACCGAAAGGUAUGCUAAUACAGGAUAACAUAAGAGAUUCACAUGGAUUUCUUAUCAAAGCUCCGGCGGUAUGAGAUGGACCCGCGUCUGAUUAGCUAGUUGGUAAGGUAACGGCUUACCAAGGCGACGAUCAGUAGCCGACCUGAGAGGGUGAUCGGCCACAUUGGAACUGAGACACGGUCCAAACUCCUACGGGAGGCAGCAGUGGGGAAUAUUGCACAAUGGGCGAAAGCCUGAUGCCAGCAACGCCGCGUGAGUGAUGAAGGCCUUCGGGUCGUAAAACUCUGUCCUCAAGGAAGAUAAUGACGGUACUUGAGGAGGAAGCCCCGGCUAACUACGUGCCAGCAGCCGC
rnacentral:rRNA from 1 species